GUGGGGAAUAUUGGGCAAUGGGCGAAAGCCUGACCCAGCAACGCCGCGUGAAGGAAGAAGGUUUUCGGAUCGUAAACUUCUAUCCUUGGUGAAGAUAAUGACGGUAGCCAAGAAGGAAGCCCCGGCUAACUACGUGCCAGCAGCCGCGGUAAUACGUAGGGGGCAAGCGUUGUCCGGAAUGAUUGGGCGUAAAGGGCGCGUAGGCGGCCCGGUAAGUCUGAAGUGAGAGUCCUGCUUUUAAGGUGGGAAUUGCUUUGGAUACUGUCGGGCUUGAGUGCAGGAGAGGUAAGCGGAAUUCCCGGUGUAGCGGUGAAAUGCGUAGAGAUCGGGAGGAACACCAGUGGCGAAGGCGGCUUACUGGACUGUAACUGACGCUGAGGCGCGAAAGUGUGGGGAGCAAACAGGAUUAGAAACCCGAGUAGUCC
rnacentral:rRNA from 1 species